UUCAAACGCUGGAUAAUUGCUUGACAUUUUAUUGGGAGGCAUUGUCAAUUAUUAGCUAAGAUUGUUUCGUCUUCUGAAGAAUUGGCCCUCUAUAAAAAAAUAGUUGUGGAAGAUGGGCUUUUAACAGAAAAUGUAAAGUCUGUUCAGUUCAUACUAAUGCAUGGAAUUAUUUAAUGUAUAGGCAAUAAUGGCUAAAAACUGACAUGACCAUCAGCUUUAUUUUAGGAUGUUUUACAAACCCAUCACAAAGCAACAACUAAUUUUUUGUUCAUGUAUAUUAAUUCAUUUGACCUUUACCUGGACUAAUAUCAUCUGAAACCUUCUUUUCUUUAAAACAUUUUAUGAGAUGUAUACACUUAUUUUUACUUUAUUAUGUAAGCAAAGCAAUUUUUUAUUUUCCUUCCCCCAAAUUAUGUGUUCCUUUAAAGAUUUGACAUUUUGAUGCAGCAAAUGUUAAGAAAGGGUGUGAGAUAAAUGUCUACAAAACAAAUGUUUCAUACAGAACUACG
rnacentral:sRNA from 1 species